CACAUGUAGCACACAGCCAGUACUUGCCAGAAAUUCCUGCAGUUCCUUUAAUGUUGCUGUAGGCGUCUUGGAAGCCUCCCUGACCUGUUUUCUUUUUGUCUUUUCAUACAUUUUGGAGGGAUGUCCAGUUCUUGAUAAUGUCUCUGUUGAGCCAUAUUUUCUCCACUUGAUGAUUACUGUCUUCACUGUGUUCCAUGGUAUAUCUAAAAAUGAGAUCCCUCUGAUGCUUUGGAAGCUCUCUGCGGACCAUAGGUUUUGCUCUUAGAUACAACUAAGAAAAUGUCAGGAAAAUCCUACUACAAAGGCUGAAUUUUACUUGUGAUUAAUCAGAUUCACUUUAAUUGAUGGCAGGUGUGUAAUGACUUCUAUUUAACAUGAGUUUGAAUGUGACAUCCCCAGAUAUAAGAGGGUGUGCACACUUAUGCAACCAGGUUAUUUUUAAGUUUUCAUUUUUCCACCUCGAAGAUUUAAUUUUGUUUUUCAAUUGAAUUGUUCACAUUAUAGGUCACAUUAAAAGUGGAAAAAGUUCUGACAUGAUUUAUCAUUGUUUCAUUCUUUUACAUUACAAAAACCUGGCAUUUUAACAGGGGUGUGUAGACUUUUUAUAUCCACUAUAAUUUAUGAAAUGUAGUUUUUGGUUUCCUAGGAGAUGACAUAUAGGAACUACCAGGACAUCAGACUGAGGCCAGAGAACUUCUCUUCUUACCUGACUUCUACUGUUGGUUUCACCUGCUACAGAUUACUGACUGAUACAGGUUUCCAUAGGCCAAUCUACCUCUUUCACAAAGGCCCCACCCCCAGGAAGUGAUAGGAACACGCCCACUGUUAGCAGUGUUAGUGCUGAGUAAAUGCAGGAUGCAUGUCAUGAGCACGUCUCCAUAGAAACAACUGUCCAGAUUGAUGUAUGGUGGUGGACACCAACCAAUACCACAACUUAGAUUGGUGAGACAUUCAUAGAUUAGUAAUGUGAUUGGACGAAAGGACCUUCUGAGGAUUCUGAUUAGUCAUGAUUUAUUAACUAGACGGUUAACGGUCUCAGCAACAGACUUUGAAACACACACUGACAUGCAGACUGUAUGACAAGGGAACAGUCCACUGGGACAACAUGGCACCCUGGUUGAGCCCUCUACUGGGCCAGUUUCACCCUCUAUGAUUCAACUCCACUGCCUGGACAUGAAGCCUGGAGCAGGAAGUGGAAACUCAGCUGAACCACAUGGAGCCAAGCUGGCACUCCCUGUGUGUUGUGUUGAAACAAGUGUGUAUAUUAGAGAGGUUGUUUAUGUGUGUUUGGGAGGCUGUUAAAUGUGUUAACAAGCAGUUUUUUUGUUUUUGUUUUGUGUUCUGAGAGGUGGGACUUCCACCCUGCCUAAUGAGGUCACUUCCUUCCAAACUCAAUGUUUAAACAGUAAGCUACUAUAAUAAACUUUCUUAUGAUCCUGUGUGUGUGUGUGUGUGUGAGUGUAUACUGUGAUGUUUUGUGUGUAUAUUGCAACGACAAAGGCCUGUAUUGACCAUUUAUCAGGAAACAGACUAACAGCUCCGACACACUGCUCGUAAAAAUUUAGAUAGCCAGGCUAGUAUCACCCAGUUUCUGGCUUUUGGGUGUGUUUGUGGGUGUGUUUGUGGUGUGCCAGCAUCAUAACAGCUAGUUGUAUAUCAUGGUUUGAGCGUGGCCACUAGCCAAAAUCCUGUGAUUGGUCAGUCUGCAGCGAUUGGCACCGGUGAUUUCCAUAAAGUUGUAUAAGUUAAACUUUUUUUUACCUCCUGUGCCCUGCACACAUCACACAACAAGCCACCACCCCCCCCACCACACUUCCCUUCAUUGAAUUGAGCCAUCGUCCCGGACGCCAUCAGUGUGUACGUGGGGUAAGA
rnacentral:lncRNA from 1 species